UUAGUACUUUCUUCGUUCUAAAUUUUUUUGUUUUACAUUUAUCUAGAUAUGAAUGUAUCUAGUGACGAUUUAGUAUGUAGAUACAUUCAUUUUUAGAUAAAUCUAAGAUUAAAAAAUUGGGACGGAGGGAGUGCUCU
rfam:Hordeum vulgare subsp. vulgare, WGS project CAJW01000000 data, contig: morex_contig_1589997